AUGGAAGGAGAAACUCAAGAAGGUGUCCUCCCAGGGGAGUGCCCCAGAGACCCCAGACCCGAGCCCAACUUCACCCUCGCCCGCAACCUUUGAACCUGGUUCACAAAUGGGGACCAACAUCAGGAAAAUUGCCCCUAACUCAACUCAGUCUUAUAAAAUCUUACCAAGUCACUUCCUCAAGUGCACUUUCAGUGACUCUAGUUCAGUAAUUUACCUCACCUCUUGAGCCUGGGUACGCACGUGUGUAAAAUGAAGAUGAUGUCUUCCCCUCGGACCUGCUGUGAGGACUCAACUAGAUAGCUUCAACACAAAGAAGCAGGAACCCAGGGAGAAGAGGCCGGGAGAAGACAAGGCUCUCCAGAAAACACAAGAAUCCACCAGCGAGUCUUGAAGUUCCACGGGCUAUAGAACUGGAAUCGAUGGUGGUGCUGGAGCCCACGUUGCCUGGCAUUUCAAGGGACAGGGGACUCUUGAAAGCAUCUGGUUACACCAUGGCUGAAAGCCAAGUUUUCCGUGAGGUCCCGAAGUCCUAGACAAACAUUUCUUUUAUUUAGUGUGUUUGAAUUUUAAGCUUUAGGCCUUUAGAGAAAGAAUCAAGCUGACAUCCCAUUAAUAUUACUAUAAUCCCCAUUGUAGCGUAUUGUACUACUGCUAGGAACCUUUUCAAAUCUUUAGUUUUCUUUGAUCUUUACCAAAGACUUGUCAGAGAGAAAGGGCUGGUAUUAGUUUUACAUUCCUAUGGGGAAACUGAGGCACAAAGAGAUGAACAAUAAAG
rnacentral:lncRNA from 1 species